UAGGACAAAAGUAGAAAGAAAAUCAUUAACGAGUUUCUUUAUAAUUGGAUCUGAUUCGUAUCUAUCGUCCCGAACGUUUCGCUAUCCAUGCACCACAGAAAUUCUUAAUUUUUUUCCUCCACAGUUUUUUUUUCAAAAUUUAUCGUGCCGCGAAACUGCCGCCAAUCAGGUAGCAAAUUAAAUCAAAUUCGAAAAUCAAAUUUCGAGUCACAUA
rnacentral:lncRNA from 1 species